AUUGAACGCUGGCGGCAGGCCUAACACAUGCAAGUCGAGCGGUAGAGCGAAGCUUGCUUCUCUUGAGAGCGGCGGACGGGUGAGUAAUGCCUAGGAAUCUGCCUGGUAGUGGGGGAUAACGUUCGGAAACGGACGCUAAUACCGCAUACGUCCUACGGGAGAAAGCAGGGGACCUUCGGGCCUUGCGCUAUCAGAUGAGCCUAGGUCGGAUUAGCUAGUUGGUGGGGUAAUGGCUCACCAAGGCGACGAUCCGUAACUGGUCUGAGAGGAUGAUCAGUCACACUGGAACUGAGACACGGUCCAGACUCCUACGGGAGGCAGCAGUGGGGAAUAUUGGACAAUGGGCGAAAGCCUGAUCCAGCCAUGCCGCGUGUGUGAAGAAGGUCUUCGGAUUGUAAAGCACUUUAAGUUGGGGGGAAGGGCAGUAAAUUAAUACUUUGCUGUUUUGACGUUACCGACAGAAUAAGCACCGGCUAACUCUGUG
rnacentral:rRNA from 1 species